rnacentral:misc_RNA from 1 species
UUUUGUUUUAUUACUGCUUGGAGUUGCUUGAGCAGAGGGUCUUUGGGAACCAGCUUCUCUACCUCUCCGAGGUAUUGGUAAGGACUGCGUACACUCUACCCUCCCACAAACCACUUUGUGGGACUUCACUUGUUAUGUUGUUGUUGAGAGCUUGUAUAGAGGUUAAGUAUCUAUUGCUGUUGCAUUAAAUCAUGUGCCUUGUCUCUUUACAGGCUGCCAACUAUUUAAAAAUAAAGAGCCUGAUUGACCUGACAUGUCAGACACUUGCUGACAUGAUCAAAG